rnacentral:rRNA from 1 species
UGCGAACUCCUACGGGAGGCAGCAGUGAGGAUAUUGGUCAAUGGGCGAGAGCCUGAACCAGCCAAGUCGCGUGAAGGAAGAAGGAUCUAUGGUUCGUAAACUUCUUUUGCAGGGGAAUAAAGUGCGGGACGUGUCCUGUUUUGUAUGUACCCUGAGAAUAAGGAUCGGCUAACUCCGUGCCAGCAGCCGCGGUAAUACGGAGGAUCCGAGCGCUAUCCGGAUUUAUUGGGUUUAAAGGGUGCGUAGGUGGUUUGAUAAGUCAGCGGUGAAAGUUUGCAGCUUAACUGUAAAAAUGCCGUUGAAACUGUCGGACUUGAGUGUAAAUGAGGUAGGCGGAAUGCGUGGUGUAGCGGUGAAAUGCAUAGAUAUCACGCAGAACUCCGAUUGCGAAGGCAGCUUACUAAGCUACAACUGACACUGAAGCACGAAAGCGUGGGGAUUAAACAGGAUUAGAUACCCUUGUAGUCCAGAUG